rnacentral:rRNA from 1 species
AUGCAAAAGUUACUUGGCAAGGUCAAUUACUUGAGGAGAUUCAUAGCUAAUCUGUCAGGGAAGGUUGAUGCGUUUACUCCUAUCCUUCGGUUAAAGAAUGAUGUUGAUUUCACUUGGGGGGCAAAACAGCAAGAAGCAUUUAAUAUGAUCAAGAAUUAUUUGUGCACUCCUCCGGUGAUGAAAGCACCCAAGCAUAGGGAACCGUUCAGGCUUUACAUUGCAGCAGAAGGAGUUAUUGGUGCUGUUUUGACUCAAGAAACCGAAAGAAAAGAGCAUGCUAUUACAUAUUUGAGCAGGCGCUUAUUGGACGCCGAGACAAGGUAUACAUUUAUUGAAAAAUUAUGUCUAUGCUUAUAUUAUGCUUGCACAAAAUUGAGAAAUUAUUUAGUGCUGAGUGCUUGCAUAGUAGCUUGUCAGACCGAUGUCAUUAAAUACAUGUUGCAUAGGCCAAUUCUUAGUGGUAGAAUUGGCAAGUGGGCUUAUGAUUUGAUUGAAUAUGAUUUGGCGUAUGAAUCUCUAAAAUCUAUGAAAGGCCAAAUUGUUGCUAAUUUCAUUGUUGAACAUCGGAUUAAUGACAAGCAUGAUAUUGAUAUGAACCUUGUUUCAUGGAGAUUAUACUUUGAUGGUUCAGUUUAUAGCAAUGGCCAAGGUGUUGGUAUUGUUUAUAUAUCUCCUCAUGGUGCUGUUUUUUAA